rnacentral:rRNA from 1 species
GAUGAACGCUGACAGAAUGCUUAACACAUGCAAGUCGACUCGAGUCUUCGGACUUGGGUGGCGCACGGGUGAGUAACGCGUAAAGAACUUGCCUCUUAGACCGGGACAACAUCUGGAAACGGAUGCUAAUACCGGAUAUUAUGGUUUUUUCGCAUGGAGGAAUCAUGAAAGCUAGAUGCGCUAAGAGAGAGCUUUGCGUCCCAUUAGCUGGUUGGUGAGGUAACGGCCCACCAAGGCAAUGAUGGGUAGCCGGCCUGAGAGGGUGAACGGCCACAAGGGGACUGAGACACGGCCCUUACUCCUACGGGAGGCAGCAGUGGGGAAUAUUGGACAAUGGACCACAAGUCUGAUCCAGCAAUUCUGUGUGCACGAUGACGUUUUUCGGAAUGUAAAGUGCUUUCAGUCGGGAAGAAGUCAGUGACGGUACCGACAGAAGAAGCGACGGCUAAAUACGUGCCAGCAGCCGCGGUAAUACGUAUGUCGCAAGCGUUAUCCGGAUUUAUUGGGCGUAAAGCGCGUCUAGGCGGCAAGGAAAGUCUGAUGUGAAAAUGCGGAGCUCAACUCCGUAUGGCGUUGGAAACUGCCUUACUAGAGUACUGGAGAGGUAGGCGGAACUACAAGUGUAGAGGUGAAAUUCGUAGAUAUUUGUAGGAAUGCCGAUGGGGAAGCCAGCCUACUGGGCAGAUACUGACGCUAAAGCGCGAAAGCGUGGGUAGCAAACAGG